rnacentral:rRNA from 1 species
GACGAACGCUGGCGGCGUGCUUAACACAUGCAAGUCGAACGGAAAGGCCCUGCUUUUGUGGGGUGCUCGAGUGGCGAACGGGUGAGUAACACGUGAGUAACCUGCCCUUGACUUUGGGAUAACUUCAGGAAACUGGGGCUAAUACCGGAUAGGAGCUCCUGCUGCAUGGGGGGGGUUGGAAAGUUUCGGCGGUUGGGGAUGGACUCGCGGCUUAUCAGCUUGUUGGUGGGGUAGUGGCUUACCAAGGCUUUGACGGGUAGCCGGCCUGGGAGGGUGACCGGCCACAUUGGGACUGAGAUACGGCCCAGACUCCUACGGGAGGCAGCAGUGGGGAAUAGUGCACAAUGGGCGGAAGCCUGAUGCAGCAACGCCGCGUGCGGGAUGACGGCCUUCGGGUUGUAAACCGCUUUCGCCUGUGACGAAGCGUGAGUGACGGUAAUGGGUAAAGAAGCACCGGCUAACUACGUG